UCAGGUGGCCGCAGAGAAUAGGCCCAAGCGACUGUUUACCAAAAACAUAGGUUUCUGCUAAGUCGCAAGACGAUGUAUAGGAGCUGACGCCUGCCCGGUGCUGGAAGGUUAAGGGGAUCUGUUAGAGCAAUCGAAGCAGUGAACUUAAGCCCCAGUAAACGGCGGCCGUAACUAUAACGGUCCUAAGGUAGCGAAAUUCCUUGUCGGGUAAGUUCCGACCCGCACGAAAGGCGUAACGAUUUGGGCACUGUCUCAACAACAGACUCGGUGAAAUUGUAAUUCCGGUGAAGAUGCCGGAUACCUGCGACAGGACGGAAAGACCCCAUGGAGCUUUACUGUAGCUUGACAUUGGGUCUUGGUACUACAUGUACAGGAU
rnacentral:rRNA from 1 species